GAAAAGACACCUAGGAUUAAAUGAAGUAAUCUGUAAAAAGUACUUAUCAUACUUCCUACCAUAUAAUACAUGUUUAAACACUAUUUCUAUUAAUAAACAUAGUCUUUUCCAAACAUCUUACAGUUCCUAAGCCUGCAUUUCCUAUUGGGUGGAUUUAUGGAGAUAGGCAAUGGUGUGCAAAUAAAUUAGGCAUUCUGGGCUUCCUGUGUAAUCCUGUUUUUUUGAGGAAGCUUAUUGGGAUAUAAAGUGAUGGUAAUAGCAAGAAGAAGUAUGGUAAAAACAUGAAUUGUGGAUAAAGGAGAAACUUUUGGGAAGAAAUAAUGAGAAGUAAGAACACACCAAAUUCCUCCAGGCCUUGGGGUCCAAGAGAAAAUAUUGUCCCUACUUAACAGAUUAUGUGAGAAAAUAUGUCCUCAAGGAAAGGCCAAUCCUCAGGAAAGCACAAAGGUAAAGGGAACACAGAGAAGAGGUUGAGGAUUUUGCUAACGAGAGACUACAAUUUUAAGAUGGUAUAAUGGCACCAUUUGUGUGUUGUUUUCAAGAAAAACAGAAACAACAAAUUAGACCUUGCACCCUUCCAAACUAUGCACUAUGUAUGCCUGAUAUUCUGGACCAGGGAACUAUAUGCUACUUUUCAAAAAUUCAUUUUGAGGAGAUUAUUCUCUUUCCACCAUUAUAUAUUGAGUAUAGAUUAUUCAAAUUUAUUACUUAACUCUAGAUUGCUAAUUAUCAAAAACCAUUCAUCACCCAGAGAUGAAUUAACUGACAUGACUUUUUGUUUGUUUGUUUAGGUUCCUUGAGGAACAGAUAAGUGUGUUCUUAACUGUAUAUGGGAUAGCUGUAUUGGUAUACUUAUCCAGGAAGAAGUAUGUAUGACUGUGUGUGUGUGUUUACACUCACAUCCACAAUCAAGAGGAGACAUCCAUUUUGGUCAGUCUAUUACUCCUCACCAUCUUCUGACAAUAGCAUCCUCCUCCUUGGGCAACUAUUUCUCUCUCUCCUUCUCCUCCCUUAUCCUAGAAGCCUCUGGUGAUGCUGCCAAUUAUUGUACUGAACGACUCUGGCUACAAAGGGUUGACUUGGGCCAACCAAAGUGUCCCCUUCUCUUGGGCAUGGAGAUUGAUUGAGGAUGUUCAUGUGAUUAAGCCAGACCAGCAAGAGUCCUUCCCUAUAAUAUUUAUAUAUAUGUAUUGGGGAAAGACAACUAUGUCUUCUGGGGUCAUAAUCUUGAUUAAUCUGAGUGAACCAGGGGCUCUCUAUAGCUACACUCAUAUGGAAAAUGCCCAUAUGAGCACAUGGAAAAUGUCUUUACAAAGUGGGAAAGAAUGAAGCAAAUAUGUAGAUAAGAACAGAAUUAAAAAUGGAGAAAGUGCUAGUGAUAUUGUUAACAUUCCUGAAUCCAAAGAUACAUGUAAACCAUCCACCUCUUUUUAGGAUUCUGAAUAAGAGAGAAUUGGGAUUUAUGAUAAAUAGAAUUCUUGUUCAAAUCCCAAAAGAUAAGGAGAAAAAACUGGAGAGGGAAUAAGUAAUUUUGGGCUAAGAAUUGGGACAACUGGAUCCUCUUUCAGGUUUUCAAUAACCAUGUAUGUGAAUGUGAGCAAAUCACUUGGCAUCUUCAACACUCAGUUACCGUCUCUGUACAAUGACAAAAUUAGCUUCAACUAUUUUUAAGAGCCUUAAAACUAUAAACUUACAUGUCCUGGAUACCUCUAACCUAAGCACACUUUGAAAUAAGUGACCCACCUGUAAAUAGAUGCUUAAUUUUUUUCUUAUAGUGUUAUUUUUUUCUUUUUCUUUCCUUUGCUUUUAAGCUUUCUGUUAAAAAUAAAAUGUAUGAUGCUACUAGAUUAAUCCAGUGGAAUGUAAAUGCAAUCAGUGACUAAAUCAAACAUGUCUGUAGUCCACAACAUUUCCAAAGCAAAACAAAAUUAUAUAUCCUUCUAAUUGGAACCAGCUGAAGUAACUGCUGAUUUUUAUAGUUCCAUUGAAAUAGUGAAUUGUCAGAAUUGAUUGUCUCUGCAGAUUAUAAUACUGAGCCCUUACGUACACAGUUAUGUACACACAGACACAGCAACCCCUAAACCAAAUUUAGAGGUUCUUGAAGUUUGGCAUUGGAAAUGCCCCUGUUUGUCCUUCCAUUGAAGUCUCAGCCCUCUCCAUUCCUCCCUCUGAAUCCCAUCCCCAGCUCAUGGCACGGCUAUUAAGUUCAUCAUUGGGACAGCUAGGAUAAACUGUAGUGGCUGCAUGGAAUGCUGUAUUGGAGAGGGUUUCAAGACUUUAUCCAGGCUUGUAGGAAAGGAUGCUAUGUUAAAUAAGUAGCAUCCUUAUUUAAUGGUACAAUUGUCAAAAAAUGUGGCUUUUCUGACUAUGAUGGAUAUGUGCUAUCCAAUUACUAACUUAAUUUUGUAUUCCAAAUGUUAUUUGCCAUUUAAUGGAAAACUUUCAAAUUCAAUUUUAAAUGAUAGAACUGAGCCUUUGAUUUGUAUGUAACAGGCUUCCCUACCUGGUGAUAUAUUUGGGGACUAGGAUACUUUCUAUGUUAUUCUUAUCGAACCAUAUAUUCACCUUACUGACUAUGCCAAGACAGCAUGAAUUUAUAUCCACAAUGUCUUUCACAACUCCAAUUUGUUCCCAGCAUGAAAUACCACUUAUAUUGGUUUGAAAUUCUGUUCUAAACUUAGAGCCCACGAUUUCUGUGUGGGUUGUAAAGUUGACAAAACACGUACUUUUUUUCUAAUGCAAAUCCUACAUGCGUUGGCUUUCAGGUAGUCAAGCUGACACUGUUGGAGGCGUGUAAGACAAAAAAUAACUCCUGUUAAAUAAAAGGGUAAGGAGUGAAGAAAGAUGAACGGAUCUAUUUUGUUAAAUGGAAUUUUUAGAGACACAGAACAAAUGGUUCUGUUUUGUUUUAAAGGAGAUUAAGAAUAAAAAUAAAGUAUUUAAAAUGAGAGUGAAUACAUGUUGAGAGGUCAAGGAAAGCUAACAAUCUGCUAUUUGUGACAACAGUUAAUAAUAUUUAAAUUAAUUGUAAUAUUGGAAAUGGAAAUCUCUGACUUCAUAUGAAUAAUGAAUAGCAAAACCAGACACGGCUCUGAGGUGAAAUGUGAUUUUCAUGAGGAUGGGAACAUUUAACAUUUAUACAGCAGUUCAUAUUCUCAAAGUCAUAUAUCAGUGACAACUGUAAAAUAUAUCUUUAAUUUGAAUUGAUGAAGUAUACUGCAGGGGCACAUUCUGGAGGUAGUAUUCCACCCCCCCCCCCACAAUAAAAAGAGGGCGAGAGAAGAGAUUUGGAUAAACAAAUGCUUAAAAACUGCUCGUGAAAAUGGAAGCUGAACACCCUGAUAUCCAAUCAUUUGAAAUGAUUUAAUUCUUGGUAGGUAUGUCUUUUUAUUCAUUUACAUGAAUAUUCAUAGUAUGUUACAGCUCUUCAUGUGUUUAGCAGUUAAGGGUAAUCCACAUGCUGAAUGUAAAAAGGUUGAUUUAUAAAUAUGUACUGUAAUCCUUAGACACUGCUUAAAAUAAAAGCCUUUUCAAUCAUUUGUUUUCUCUGUACUACUCUUCCCAUGUCCUUGCCUUGGUUUAACUUUAGCUAAAAUUCUUCUUGAAGACCACACUUGCCCAGAUAUUUUAGUCCAUCCACUCUUGCUCCAUUGCUUGAUGGCUUCUCAUGGCUAUGGAGAACUCAAAAAUAGUCCUGUGGUAGAGAUCUUGUCCUAGCAAUAAUUUUUAGAAGGGUGUCGCAGCCAGUCCCAGUUCUACCCCUUUGUAGUUAGUUAUGGCCAAGAAUAAAGUUCUCAUCAUGGAGUAGAAGAAACAGUGCUCCAUGGCUUGACCCAUAUAGCCUUGCAAGCCUUUUCUCUUUGCCAGCAGGAGUGGUCAUAUGGAAUAAUAUGGAAGCCACAUAAAGAUGGCAGAGCUGCCUUUUUCCUGGAUCUCUGUAGGACUCUCUGUGGGACUCUAUAGUGCCCACUAACCUGGAACUUUUAAACUGAGAGGGAUACAUUUUUCUCUUUAUUUUAGGAGAGGUGUUUUUGUUUUUGCCUCUUUGAUUACUCUAAUAUAUGACUGCGUUUGUUACUACAAACUUGUGGUCUAUAAACCUCACUGUCCUCUCAGUAGAAUGUUGCACCGCUUAAGAAGCUGCUUCUCUCUUCUACAGAUUUUUGAAACCUUUAGAACUUUCUUCAAGAUAUCAUUCUAACCUGUAACCCUUCCUUUUUCAACAGAUGAUGUUGGCUUACAGAGAAAAUAAUGCCAUCAGGCACAGUUCCUUUAAUUUUCUCCUUUUACAAGUCAAAACUUAUCCAUAUUUGUCUUGCCUUAAUUCUUUCUACUUUAUUAAGAAUUUUAGGAGUUCCCGUUGUGGUGCAGUGGUUAACGAAUCCGACUGGGAACCAUGAGGUUGCGGUUCGAUCCUUGGCCUUGCUUAGUGGGUUGAGGACUGGACGUUGCCGUGAGCUGUGGUGAAGUUUGCAGACGCUGCUCGGAUCCUGCGUUGCUGUGGCCCUGGUGUAGGCCGGUGGCUACGGCUCCGAUUCGACCCCUAGCCUGGCAACCUCCAUAUGCCACAGAAGCGGCCCUAGAAAAGGCAAAAAG
rnacentral:lncRNA from 1 species